UACUGGCCUUUGUGAUACAUAGAUAACCAAGAAAAUUGAACUCUAUGUCACUGGAAUGAACCUGGGAAUAAAAAUAUUAUCUAGAAGAACCUCCUACACUAGAUGUUCCUUAAACUUUUCUACCCAUGCCAAGGCCCUUAUUAACUUUUUUCAUCCCAAGCAUGUAACUGCUUAAAAAAUCAAAGAGAAAUCUCUAGCUUAAGAGAGAUGGAGUAUGUAAAGGUUUCCACUGUGUCACAGGAGACAUACAUGGAAUGGGCACCCUCGAAUCUGGUCUAUGUAAGGAAAGCUGUUUAGCAGGUAUACCAUUGAACUUCUCAAUGACAUAAUCAUUAGGCCCUCCCUGAAACAUCUCUUGUAACCUGGAAAGCCCUAGCUUCUGUGAUGUCACAAUAUUGUUGUGACUGAAACUCCCUAUCAGAUAUCACUUCAGUACCUCUAGUGUUUACUAAUUGAAUUCUAAUUCAGAGUAAACAGCCAUUUUGGAGUGAAAGCAAAGAGGAUGAAGAGAUCAGAGAUGGGGAGAAGGAUGCUGGCCUUCUUUCUUGAUAUAAAAAAAGGAAGAAAUACAUGGUCCUUGGGAAAGCUCACAAAACUCUCAAAUAUCAUCCUGGGUGACGAUGUAGAUUAGACCCAUCAGAUGAAAUGAAGAAUUGAAAAACUCUCCUGGGGAUGAAAAUGAACCAGAAUUUUGCCAAAGAUAUACAUACGGAGUGCGAGCCACUGUUCAGUGCAUUCCUGCUUGGCUUUAUUUCAUUCAGUGCCUGUGCUGGUACUGUGACACAAGAAGAGCCUUUUCUCAUCCAGUAAAUGCUGCCUGGCAAAUACUCUACGACUUUCUUCAUCGUGACAUUUCCAGCCCUUUACAGCACCCACAAAGAACAAAGUCACUCUGACACCAUGGUGUUCUUUUACCUGUGGUCAUCCUUUGCAUCAUCAGCUCCUGCUAUAUCCUCAUCUGGGAUCUCAAGAUGGACUGGGGUUUCUUUGAUAAGAAUGCAGGAGAUAACAAUUUCCUCUGUCAAGAAAUUUUAUACCCCCAAAAAGCAUGUGUGGAACAUUUACACUUAUCUUAGAUAUAUCUUUAGAUAGGUCAUACAGCAGUACUGACACAGGUCUAGUUAACUAAUAUGAUUACAAAACAAUUAUCCCAGAUACCAAUAUAGUCCACAAAACACCGUAUCUGUUUCUUUUUUGUGUAGUAGAGCCAGUGGGACAUUUGUUAGAAUUGAGUGCCAACCCAAUAAAAGUGGGAGAAAAAAUAUAUAUGUCAUAUAUUGUAUAUAAUAUAUUUUAUAUUAUAUUAUAUUAUUUAUGAUUUUACUGGCAUAUUAGAGUUACAGGGCUAAGAGAUGCUGAAUUUUAAAUUAAAAGAACAAGAAUCCUUAAACAGAUGAUUUAGUAAAGGUAAAUGUGAUUAGAUAUUGAAAACAUUGAGCCAUGAACUGGGAAUCUAGCUGUCCUUAUCCAAUCGCAGCUGUACACCAACUAGGCCAUUCAGACAGCGAAGUCUGCAGAAGAUUAUCAAAGUAAGAGUGUUAGACUUCAUUAACUCUUGAUAAUUUUAUUGGCCUAAUGUUCUGCUGUGGAUAGCGUAGAGAUUGAGUUAACAAUUUUUAAGGAUUUAUAUAUUAUGUCAUGCAUAUGACUACCCUGUAGCUGUCUUCAGACACACCAGAAGAGGGCAUCAGAUUCCAUAACAGAUGGUUGUGAGCCACCAUGUGGUUGCUGGGAUUUGAUCUCAGGACAUCUUGAGAGUGUUUUUAACUGCUGAACCAUCUUUCUAAGCCUGAGUUAAUGUAUUGACCUAUAUCAAAAUGUCAUCAUUAUGUCAAAUUUGUGUUUUGAAAAGAAUGUGAUUGUGGGGUCCUGGGCAGAGAAAGUUGCCUGUGAAGACUGGAGCAGCAUACGUAAGCAAAUGCUGUGUGCAUCAGGGCCUCGGGUGAGCCCUUGCAGGGAAGCAGUCAUCCUCACAUGAGAAUUUAGGAAACAUCACUGAGCAUUGAACAUACUUUUUUAUAAUUCUCAACUAAAGGGAAACAAGGGGCAGGGCCAGGUGUCAGCAUGCAGGCACAAGCAGGCACAGGAUGCAGAUUUCAGUCCCUAGUACCGUUUUAAAGAAAGAAAGAAAGCAGGGACAGGUAAAGCUGCUUCAUUAUCACCACACAUGGGUUUUUUAUGACUGUUGUUGUGUUUAGUAAACACUUGGACACAUUUGUUUCCUGUGCUCACUGUGUAAGUUCAGUGGCUCUGUAUCAAUGCUAGUUUGUUUCCUGUCAUACACUUCUCAUUUGUAGAAUUCCAUACAGUGAUAUUGGCAAAUAGAUUCUGUCAGUCAGUUUCUUUAUUAUUAUAUAUUUUGUUUUUUUUUUCUUUUUUUCUUAUUUUUUGGAGCUGAGGACUGAACCCAGGGACUUUCACUUGGUAGGCAAGCACUCUACCGCAUACCUAAAUCCCCAAACCCUUAUUAUUUUAUAUUUUAAUGCUCUAGAAAAUAAAGUUAUACUUUCUUGAAAUAUAAUCGUAAAUUUAUAAGAAAAAAGUGAAGAAGCCAUUGUGCAGUCCAGUUUACCUUCAUUCUGAAAUCCUGUUACAGUGUCAUACAAAUUCUGCCUGCCUCCUCUCAAUGAGGAACCUAGGUUGGGUGUGUGUGAAAUGAAACUAGAAAGGGGACCAUGAAAGGGUUAAAAAGAGCUAUUAAGGCAGGAGGGGAUGGUAGUGAUCACCACAUGUGACAUGAAAAUAGAAGAGGAUACACUGUGUGGCAAGAAGAGGAGUUAGGGCAGGGGGUAGGAACUAAUCUGAAGAAUUCAGAAUGAAGACUGAGGAGAUGCCCUAUGGAAACCUUUUGCUGAUUUUUGCUGGCAUAUUUUUUUUUAUUUAAAAGCUAAUUGUCAGCUCAUUGAUAAUGUUUAAAACUGACUAAUCAAAACAUUUACAAUUAUGGAGGCAAAUGGGAUGGAUAAUUACAAAUGUUUGUCUAUAGGGAGUGCAAAAAGAGAGCAGUACAAGGGGACUGAUUGUAAGUUUUUGUUAACCUUCUAGUUUAAUGAAUACACUUGUUUAAAGUUAAAAUAGGAUUGGAGGAAUGGCUCAGUACCUAAGGAAACCUGUUGAUCUUGGAGAGGAACUUGCUCAGUUCCCAGUACCCCAUGACAGCUCACAGCCAUCUGCAAUUCCAAUGCCUGGGACUCAUUUUCUUCUCCUCACUUCUGAAGGGACUAGGUACACACAAGGUAAACUUACAUACAUUCGGGCAAACACACACAUAAAAGAAGAAUACUUUUAAACACUAAAUUAAAUAAAUACUCCCACUUAGUACCUAGCAGUUCUAGUUACCAAAAUGGCACAGCCUUGAAAUACUCUUUGAAGUGCUAAUUUUGCUUUGUAAUAAGUAAAUUGUGUGUUCUGGGAUUUUAUGGCAGUUGUGUAUUUAAGAAUCUUGGAUAAACUGCAUUAGCAGAAUACUAUGAUCAAUGAUGCUUCUCAAAUCCAAGCCUCAAUUUAUUUUUCAACAUCAAAAAUAAAAGGCUACAGUUAUGUGAGGGAUGAAGAAAUUAGUGUGAACAUUGUUUCUGACACUGACAUCUUGGAGAGAGAAGUGCUUCUAGUUGAGACUUCAUCAUCUCAAUCUUUCAACUAGUAUUACUCUG